CGUCCUCAGAGGCUGGAAGACGUUUUGAACCACUAUUUCCGCAAAAGCCGGGGAACCUGGCGGACCCAUGGGAAGGCGUGGUCUGUCGCCUACAACCGGAGGAAUUAUGCUGUCUGGCGAACUCUCCAGGACAGCUGGGAAAGGCCUAUGCAAGGAAUGAAGUGAAUGAGUGACCAAACCAGGAAACACCUGGAGGAGUGUGUUUGUGGGGUGGACAGCAAGUGCAAAGAUCCUGAGAUUUAGCCACCGCCUAACCCCAGUCCUGACAUACCGGGGUACUUGACAUACUUUGCAGCAACACAAUGGAUGAAAAUGAACAAGAACUUCAGAAUAAGAACUGAGGAGGUGUGCAUCUUGGUUCUACCAUUCACUUAGGCACUUUCUGUCUUCGUACAUGUCUGAGUAAAAGGUACCUAAUGUUGUGAGGUCUCAAUUUAUUUCUCUGUGAAGCAACAACAAACAGUAACCUGAAUGUAUUAGUCUGCCCAGGGCGCCAU